rnacentral:lncRNA from 1 species
CCCUACAUCCUCCUCACUGACCCUACAUCCUCCUCACUGACCCUACAUCCUCCACACACUGACCCUACAUCCUCCUCACUGACCCUACAUCCUCCCACACUGACCCUACAUCCUCCUCACUGACCCUACAUCCUCCACACUGACCCUACAUCCUCCACACUGACCCUACAUCCUCCUCACUGACCCUACAUCCUCCUCACUGACCCUACAUCCUCCACACUGACCCUACAUCCUCCACACUGACCCUACAUCCUCCUCACUGACCCUACAUCCUCCACACUGACCCUACAUCCUCCUCCACACACUGACCCUACAUCCUCCACACUGACCCUACAUCCUCCCUCCACACACUGACCCUACAUCCUCCUCACUGACCUACAUCCUCCUCACUGACCCUACCAUCCUCCACACUGACCCUACAUCCUCCUCACGGACCCUACAUCCUCCUCACUGACCCUACAUCCUCCACACUGACCCUACAUCCUCCUCACUGACCCACAUCCUCCACACUGACCCUACAUCCUCCACACUGACCCUACAUCCUCCACACUGACCCUACAUCCCUCCUCACUGACCCUACAUCCUCCACACUGACCCUACAUCCUCCUCACUGACCCUACAUCCUCCUCACUGACCCUACAUCCUCCUCACUGACCCUACAACCCUCACACUGACCCUACAUCCUCCACACUGACCCUACAUCCUCCACACUGACCCUACAUCCUCACACACUGAACCCUACAUCCUCCUCACUGACCCUACAUCCUCCUCACUGACCCUACAUCCUCCUCACUGACCCUACAUCCUCCUCACUGACCCUACAUCCUCCACACUGACCCUACAAUCCUCCACACUGACCCUAACACCCUCCUCACUGACCCUACAUCCUCCUCACUGACCCUACAUCCUCCACACUGACCCUACAUCCUCCACACUGACCCUACAUCCUCCUCACUGACCCCUACACCCUCCUCACUGACCCUACAUCCUCCCACUGACCCUACAUCCUCCAGCCAUUAC